GGACACCCCCCAAAUAGGCCACUUUUAGCCACUCAUACCUGUAUCUCUCCUCCUGCAGGGUCUGUGAGAUGAAGCCAUACUCCCUCUUGAACUGUAUCUUUAGCACCUCAAUGUCCUCAGCCAGCUGUACCUGGGUGUCCUCGAUCUCCCUCAGCUCCUCCAGGAUGGUGGUAAGCUUGCCUGGACUGCCCAGUGCACCCACUCUCCUGGCUGUGAACGACUGUAUGCCUUGCUGUCACCCGAGCCUGACAUGUUGCUCAAGCACUCAUCAUUGCUGCCAUACUUGUUCACGAUGGUGGCACUGCCUCCAUAUGCCCUGGCACUGGCAUUUGGCUGGAAUUUCUCCAAGUUUUCGAGGGAAAGUGCUGUACCCUCAAGAAGUAUUAACUGAAUUCUUGUGCAUGUAGAAAAAAUUUCAGAUGGAACUACAGCUCCAGUCAAGGAGAAUCAAUAAAUUGUGGAAUGUAUUCAAAUAAAAAAAGACAAAGAACUCUUAAUUUAAAAUGAACAAAAAG
rnacentral:lncRNA from 1 species